rnacentral:tRNA from 1 species
UUCCCUGUAGCUUAGUUGGUAGAGCAUGGUGUUUGCAACGCCAGGAUGGGUUCGAUUCCCACGGGGGGC